rnacentral:rRNA from 1 species
UACGUAGGGUGCGAGCGUUUAAUCGGAAUUACUGGGCGUAAAGCGUGCGCAGGCGGUUUUGUAAGCCAGAUGUGAAAUCCCCGGGCUCAACCCGGGAAUGGCAUUUGGGACUGCAAGGCUGGAGUGCGGCAGAGGAGACUGGAAUUCCUGGUGUAGCAGUGAAAUGCGUAGAUAUCAGGAGGAAUACCGAUGGCGAAGGCAGGUCUCUGGGCUGACACUGACGCUCAUGCACGAAAGCGUGGGGAGCAAACAGG